GUCCUUCAUGAGCCCAAACAAAGUUAGCGUGCUACAAUAUUAGACAGUAGAAACCAACCAGAAAGUUCGGAAAACUGUCUGAAUCCUCCUUUGGCCACGACUGCUAACACAAGCAAGAAAACAAAGUAAAUACCGGAGACUCUGGAGGAAUAACUGGCGCCUAAAACGGAGGUAGACCGGACAAGAGCUAAAAAGCUGGGUCAACAUAAACGAUGGGGGACGCUUGGGGAUCUUGGUGACCCUGUAACCUUUCUGCUGGACAGGUAAACUGCUUUAACAAAGUAAGACAAGUGUCGGUAACAGAAGUGUUUCUUGUCAAACGGACCUGCUGUAGCGUGUUGUGGCGCCGCUAAACUGUUGACCUCGGGUCCUGGACUAUGUCACUUUAUCCUCGUUGUAGAAGUCCUGCAAACAUUGUGUUUGCUGGUAGUCUGUUGGCAUCUACAGUAGCACCAAUGCUUUUGACUUUCACCUUGACUGGGCCCCAUUUGUAAUGAUCUGAAGUAUUUAUCUGCAUUAUAUCUGAAUUUAGUUGGAACGAUACAAGCGAGCAGGAGCGUCUGUUGGUGGGCGGGGCUUGCUGGAGCAGAGAGGGAGGGGAGAGGAGGAGCUGAGGGGAAAACUGGUUGUGAGGGGUAGAGUUUACAUUCAAGAUUUCUCCCAAAAACUGGCACUUCCUCAGAUCCUGACUGUUCAUCUUUAAGACUGACAAGUUUUCUGUGAUACUGUUUUUAAUGCUUGUGCCUUUUGGUAAUGAGGGACCACACGACUGAAGCAGCCUUUGUUGACAUCAGCCGAAGACCUGAUUUGUUCACAAUCAAAGAAUGAUAAAAGUUCCUUACAGGAGCUUUCAAUGGAGUAUCAGAAAGUUGGCGUAUUGCUUUGACAUUGUAAUCAAUAACAAUAAUCUGCUGGUUUCAGGUAAAAUAAAAAUAACAAACAACACAAUGUCCUGCAGUUAGAGAGUGCGAUGCCUGCCAAACAGAGUUCAGCUAUCAGUUUUUUUAUAUUCAUUUUAUUCACAUAUUUUUAAAUCACAAUACUAUCAGAUUGGCUUUUUGUCUGAGUCCAAAAAUUGGAAUUUGUAUUAGAACAAGAAAAUGUUAUUGAAACAUUUCCAUUCUGAUUUUGAUUACAGCUGUCAUGAUCAUCACAUAAGUUAUUUAUUUAAAUUUUUUACUUUUUUAGAGGAUGCAUCGUUGUUUUCUUUCUUCCCUGAGAAGAAUGUAAAAUAUGUUUCUCACAAUAAAUUGGUUCGUACGGUACAUCUGUUAUUUAUAAAGUUAAUACAAACCCAACUUCUCAAGUCUAAUCAUGAAAGAGGGGGACUAGUCCAAUACACAGCGACUAUGUCUGCCCACUCACUGUUAAAACUGUGCAAGUGUGUUGCUGACAGGGAAAAUAAUCAUGUUCUCAGUCUGUUUCUGCACAUGCUCAGAACAUAGUCUUCUCACAGGCUGCAAAGUUACUCUAAGGAUCAUGCAAAUGUUGUUUGCAUGUCAGUGUUGUUUGAUCUGCGUGCACAGCUCUUCGAGGUCCCAGUCUGUGAAUCUUGCAAGUUUGUGCAUAAAAAAAAAACAGUCAACAAAAAGCAACCAUACCCUCCCUCUUCCUGUUCCUGAAAGUGAUUUAACACCUUUUCCCUUUCUCUUUCACCUUCAAGCUACAACAUGGUCCUCCACACCCAACUAGCUUUAGCCACAAUCCCAUUAAUUGUAUAUGCACUCAAAGGGGACACAGCCUAGUUGGAUUAAUUGGCCUUCACUAUGCAAAGCAGGCUCACUGUAAGAGGAAUUAAAUACCAAGGAGGCACGAUGAGUGAUUACCAAAACAUUUCACUGCCUGCUCAAAGUUUUUCAGGAAAUGAUCUCAUUGUGUGUUAUUCUUUGUUUCGGAGCUGUCAUCGGUGUCAGGAUGAAUCCAAUCUGUCGGCUCUGACAGUGGCUGAAAUGGUGAAAAUGUCUUAUUUUGUCUCCGUCUGAGAUGUCAAAGUAUGUCAACAUUCUCAGCCAUCACUCACUUCCCAUUUAUGCAAACACAAGCCGAGCUAAUGCUUCCUAUAUGUCCCCUCUGGGUUCCCAUACAUCAGUCCUCCACCCAUGGGAGAGGUUCGGGGAGGGUGGGGUGAUUUAUUAUAGAAAAGUAUAAAGGGGUGAGGUAAGGUAGGAAAUAUUUUUCUCCGGUAUUUCUUCAUCUGUGCGGCAAGAAACUUGGGUUAAUGUGGCUCUGAUAAACAUACACUGAAUAUUUUCACAGCAGCACGUGGAGAUCAAAUGCAAACAUGUGCAUAAAACACAAACAAUGAGUAGAAUAUGAGCAGUUAAAUUUAGUAUUUUAGGACUGUUUGUUGGGAAAUGUAAGCAAACAAGACUAUAACUGGAUUGUAUUUUGUGGCAACAAUUAUUGGACAAAGAUGGAAUUAUGUUGUCCCCUUUAUUUUUCUUUUUAUGUCCAGUGUUGGCUUAAAUGCAGAAAAAUACCAGGCUAGUCCAUAGACAUUUCUUUAAACCUGAAUGUGUUGAAUAGAUGAUUUCCCUUUCUAUUAUUUUACACAUCUGUAGGGAGGCUUCACGAUUCUGGCCAAAAAUAAAAUCCAGAUUUUUUUCACUGAAAACUUGAUUUUCGAUUUUUUUAUUCAGUGACAACUUCACUAAACUUCACUUCAAAAAUAAAGUUUUUCUAUCUUCUCUCAAAAUGAAACCGCUGAAAACGAUGUAGUGCAUAUGCCAAGCCAAUAAGUAGCGCUGUAACGCUGCAGAGGAAAUGCACAAAAGACAGAAGAAGAGUACAGAGCAUGAGUAUAAAGGUUGUUUUGACCGGACACGUGCAGGCGCCAUAAAAGAGUUACGCUGUGUGUCACAUGAUCGUUUCCAGAGAUGCAGAUAGACAUCCACACGGAGAUGAAAUGGUCGGCGUUUACGGAUUUAUUCACUCGCUGACCCGUUUUCAAAAAGUACCGUUUACAGUCACCAGAAAUGCAGCUUGCUUGUGGAUGAAACGCCGAUAUGACAAAAAUUUUUGCUUUUACUCCUGAAUUCGUUUCCGUGGUGACGGGUUGAUACCGCCUUCAGACAGACUUUGCAGCGGGGAGUGGUUUGCUCUUCAUCUGAAACUGUGAAGUCGUACCAAUUCAACACGACUGACUCGCUCUUGUCCUAUUUAACCACUAAAUUAUCUCCUUCUUUUACAAACGCCAUGUUUGUUUACAUUAGUGUGUGUGGGAACUGGGGAGCACUCCUGCAGGAAGGGGGAGUCUACGGUGGCCUGGAGGCGCAAGACAUGAUGGAGAGGAAAAUCGAUUUGACGAUUUUAAUUAUUUUAACACCGUCAUAAUCAAAUAAUCGAUUAUGAUGUAAAAUCAAUUAAUCAUGCAGCCCUAAUCUGUAAAAUAGACUAUUAUGGAUUAUACAAAGCGAUGUUGUUCACACAGUGACUCAAUCCACUGACACCGGUGAACAAACUGUGUGUCGUGUGAUAAACAGGUUAGUGUUAGAAAUCACAGCACAGCUCCAGCCAGUACAAAACAAAAGUACCUCAUAUAUCCGUGGAAUGCCUGCAAUAACUGAAUGCUAUGAAUAAUGUACAGCAUACAGUACACAAUAAAUAAGCAAUGAGUUUCUUUUGACCGGUCUCGCGUGUCUCUCAACUAUCCUUGGAUUUUGCGAAAGGUUGCACAUUCAUCAAAGUGGCCGGCACAACAAGAAAGGUCAAGGUUGAUGUUUUCCUCCUUUGUUUUAGGCCCGUCAGGCAGAUAACAGAAACAAAAAUCUGGAUAAAUAGUGCAUGAUGGGAAAUCACCUGUCUUACGCUGUGAAUGGAUAACAGCUGUUCUUUGUGUGUGAAAAUGGGUUGCAGAGGUAUCGCUGUGGUUUUACAAAUAGUGUUAAGCUGCAGACAAAGACCUGAAAACAGAAGAGUGAGAGCACUCCUGGAAAAAAAACAUGUUACACAGCUUCAAGUACAACAAGUGUGCCUCUCUAAGCUUUAUACUGAAUCACACUGAGGAAGAGGGAAACAGCACCUGUAACAAAUGUAUAAUGAGCCUAAUGAUGUAUAAUUAGCAUUUGAUUCUCCCUAUUCUCGACAUCUGCCACUUUUUUUUUAUCUGCAACCAACUCUAAUGCACUCUAGAUUGUUGUCUCGUUUAUUUACUACAACAAAAAUGACCUCAUAUAGCCCAAAAUUUUCCAUCAUGGCUUUCAGUUUUUUUCACCAAACUCUGUUGUUGAUUUGACAAGAACUGAGGAGAACAAAAGCAGAAUCAAAGUUUAAUAAGAAACACGCUUUGGCCUGUUUCAUAAACUUGCUUUUGGGUUUUUUUGGAGUUCCUUUGUGGUUAAAAAAGUCUGAAGUUUUCUGCAGUAUCUGUGUUCAUAUUUAAGAGGUUUGUCCAGUUUCUCAUUGAACAUACAUCUAGUUUUAAAGAGUGCACUGUAGACCACACCAUUAAAACUUGAUAUUAUAGGGAUAUUUCGGUGUAAAUUAUCAGUAUUUCUGGCGAUAAAACAGCAUAAAAGAGACUAAACAAAACUCACCCACUCUUCUCCAGCAGCCGCUUGUUUGUGGGAGGGGCCCUGACGAGUCGAUCACAGAGUGCAGCGGAUCAUCUCCAUGAAGUAAUAAUCUUUAUAAUAAUCAUUUUACACUGCAGAUGCGGUCGUUAUUCUACCGUAGCGUCUCAGUCUGUUUGCAUUGCCAUAAAGUAAUGAUCAUAAAUUUUCUUCCUUGAGCUGCGAAACUCCGCUGCACUCAGUGUAGCCAACCCAGCUAGAGCAAUGGAGGACUCUCUAGACUGAUGGUUUGUCUUUACUUUUUAUUUUUUCUUAUAAAAAGGGGGUAGUAGUCUGAGACAAACACACCUUAAGAGCUGAGCAAAAGGGAAAAAUAAUCACAAAUUGACAAUAUUCAUGAUAAACUGCUAACAUAAACUGAGAUGAAAAUCUGCACCAUAAUCACAUAAAAAAGCAUUUCAUAAUAAGGAAAUAUUUAAAAAAACAAUUAAACCCAUUUAUCGCAAAACAGUGAGAUCCAGUUUAUGACACGUCCCCAGUUAACAGGGGGCCCCACGAGCUGAAGGCUUUCGGAGAGGUGAGCUGUGCUAAACACAUACCCACACCAGUAACCGCAACAUAACCAGAACACACAUUUCAUGACAUGACAUCAAUAAUAAAAUGGUCACAACGCCAGCACUCGACGUACCCAAAUGAUAUUAAAUUCAUACCUUGACCCCUCACUAGCUGGAUGCUAAGAGUACAGAGUGAGUGGUGGACAUUUCUUCAGCGUGUAUGCCCGCCACCAUCCUAACUUUUCUACUGCACUUCCUACUUCCUGUCUAAUAGCAGACCCUGACCUUCAAA
rnacentral:lncRNA from 1 species